UUAAGAACAUCAGAACCCAUCGGUCAACCUCCAGGGAGGCACCCCUCUCCCUGGUUGCUUAGGGCCGAAAACCCCGACCCUCAUGUUUUUAAAGAGAAUUGGAAUCCUAUGUGAAUAAGGUGGGAAAACUGGAAAGAUUGAAUGUCCUUUGGAGUUCACAGAGGUUUGGCAGUGGGAGGAGAAAAACAAAACGAAGCAUAGUGGGAGUGUUGAACAGACUUUCCCAAGAUCCCCAGGGAAAUCAACAAAGAGUAUUGCUUUCUUGCAAAUUGGAAGGAAGGUUUCCAGCAUAAUGAAAGAGUGCAGAAAAAACAAGUUAAUUCAAGGAUAAAACUGUGAAUAAGUAGAAGAGAAGACUACACCAGGAAAAGAGACGGAGAUAGAGGCCCAAUGGAGAAAAGCAAAGCUACUACAAGAACUCACUACAUCAAUGCGUGUUCAUUAUUGAGACCAUCCUAGGAGAGCGUGCAUCAUCACAGGCUGCUCUGAGGUCUGUGCCCAAUCAAGCAAAGAACAACGGGGAUAAUCACACUGUGCAGAGGGUGACCAAUUUAGAAAAAAAGGACCCUUAAGAAGAUCUUCCAACUUCCUUAAAUGACUUUCAUUAAUUUUACACCUUUUGCCAAUUAAUUGCACUUAUGAGCCUUCCUUGUCAA